AUUGAACGCUGGCGGCAGGCCUGACACAUGCAAGUCGAGCGGAUGAAGGGAGCUUGCUCCUGGAUUCAGCGGCGGACGGGUGAGUAAUGCCUAGGAAUCUGCCUGGUAGUGGGGGAUAACGUCCGGAAACGGGCGCUAAUACCGCAUACGUCCUGAGGGAGAAAGUGGGGGAUCUUCGGACCUCACGCUAUCAGAUGAGCCUAGGUCGGAUUAGCUUGUUGGUGGGGUAAAGGCCUACCAAGGCGACGAUCCGUAACUGGUCUGAGAGGAUGAUCAGUCACACUGGAACUGAGACACGGUCCAGACUCCUACGGGAGGCAGCAGUGGGGAAUAUUGGACAAUGGGCGAAAGCCUGAUCCAGCCAUGCCGCGUGUGUGAAGAAGGUCUUCGGAUUGUAAAGCACUUUAAGUUGGGAGGAAGGGCAGUAAGUUAAUACCUUGCUGUUUUGACGUUACCAACAGAAUAAGCACCGGCUAACUUCGUG
rnacentral:rRNA from 1 species